UUCCGGUUGAUCCUGCCGGAGGCUACCGCUAUUGGAGUUCGAUUAAGCCAUGCGAGUCGAGAGUCUUAGGGACUCGGCGUACCGCUCAGUAACACGUGGGUAACCUGCCCUAUGCUGGGGAAUAACCUCGGGAAACUGAGAAUAAUACCCCAUAGUUCACCACGCCUGGAACGGUGGGUGGAUGAAAGCUCCGGCGGCAUAGGAUGGGCCUGCGACGUAUCAGGUUGUAGGGGGUGUAACGUACCCUCUAGCCAUCAACGCGUACGGGUGUUGGGAGACAUAGCCCGGAGAUGGAUUCUGAGACACGAAUCCAGACCCUACGGGGUGCAGCAGGCGCGAAAACUUGGCAAUGCGAGCAAUCGUGACCAGGGAACUCCAAGUGGCUGGGGUAAUACCCAGUUUUUUCUUGACUCUUCAAAGGUCUUGGAAUAAGGGGUGGGUAAGGACGGUGCCAGCCGCCGCGGUAAUACCGGCGCCUCAAGUGGUAGUCGCUUUUAUUGGGCCUAAAACGUCCGUAGCCGGUCUGGUGCAUUCGUGGGUAAAUCAACCCGCUCAACGGGUUGAAUUCUGCGAGCACGGCCAGACUUGGGACCGGGAGAGGUGUGGGGUACUCUCAGGGUAGGGGUAAAAUCCUGUCAUCCUGAGAGGACCACCUGUUGCGAAGGCGCCACACUAGAACGGAUUCGACGGUCAGGG
rnacentral:rRNA from 1 species